rnacentral:rRNA from 1 species
UACGGGGGGGGCAAGCGUUGUUCGGAAUUACUGGGCGUAAAGGGCUCGUAGGUGGCCAACUAAGUCAGACGUGAAAUCCCUCGGCUUAACCGGGGAACUGCGUCUGAUACUGGAUGGCUUGAGUUUGGGAGAGGGACGCGGAAUUCCAGGUGUAGCGGUGAAAUUCGUAGAUAUUCGCAAGAACACCAGUGGCGAAGGCGGCUCACUGGUCCGGUACUGACGCUGAGGUGCGAAAGCGUGGGGAGCAAACAGG